GACUAUGGCCAUGCCACCCUGAACAAGCCAGAUCCCAUCUGAUCUUGGAAGCUAAGCAGGGUCGGGCCUGGUUAGUACUUAGAUGGGAGACCACCUAGGAAGACCAGGUACUGUAGGCG
rnacentral:rRNA from 1 species